rnacentral:misc_RNA from 1 species
AGAUCAAACUCUGUAAUUGGUAUUUAUGAAAAGUUAACUCAUGAAACAGGGGCAACAGUGUGAGGGGAGUUCUAUGUUUAGCUACUAUCAAAAGAAAUGAAGAAACGAAAGCAAUUGCAAACAACUUGGCAAACAAGGGAAACAAAUCAUCAAUCAUUCAACUGAAACAGUAAACAGGGGGGUCAUCAUUCUGUUGCUUCAUGUCAUAUGUCCAAGGUUGCAAACCCCUCCCCCUAAGGAAUCUUGCUAAUGCAUUACAUGGAAACAAACUAAUAGAACCUUGUAGUUGUAGGUGACGCAUUACUUCUGAGGGAAAUUUUUCAAAAAGGCUGGAGCAAAAAAAAAGGGCUCUACCAUAUCAAAGUCUUUACUUGAUACUUUGUGGCGUUUAACUUCUCAGUUUUCUUCUCUUAAAAAAAAUAAAUAAAUAAA